rnacentral:rRNA from 1 species
UCGGGAAUUUUGGGCAAUGGGCGAAAGCCUGAUCCAGCAAUGCCGCGUGAGUGAAGAAGGCCUUCGGGUUGUAAAGCUCUUUUGUCAGGGAAGAAACGGUGAAAGCUAAUAUCUUUUGCUAAUGACGGUACCUGAAGAAUAAGCACCGGCUAACUACGUGCCAGCAGCCGCGGUAAUACGUAGGGUGCAAGCGUUAAUCGGAAUUACUGGGCGUAAAGCGUGCGCAGGCGGUUUUGUAAGUCUGAUGUGAAAUCCCCGGGCUCAACCUGGGAAUUGCAUUGGAGACUGCAAGGCUAGAAUCUGGCAGAGGGGGGUAGAAUUCCACGUGUAGCAGUGAAAUGCGUAGAUAUGUGGAGGAACACCGAUGGCGAAGGCAGCCCCCUGGGUCAAGAUUGACGCUCAUGCACGAAAGCGUGGGGAGCAAACAGGAUUAGAUACCCACGUAGUCCCUGAGCGGGCUGGCAAGGCGCAU